CGGGCGGCGAUGGAGAGCGAAGAGGCGGGAGCGGUACGGCUGUGCUGCUGCUACUGCUUCGUUGGCUGUGGUUAAGACGACCUGGAGAGGGAAGCGGGGCCUAGGAAGGACUCUAAUCAUUCUUUUCUUGGUUUGCCCACCGGCUCCGCCUGAAGAUGAAUGAAUUUAAUUGCGAACGCGCUGUGCUCCGUCAGCGAAGCCAAUGAAAUAAAACCUCCAGGCGAUACCCCGCUGUGUCUGAGGGCUCGGAACCCGUGUUGCUGGCCCGGUACAAGCGCUGCUUGUUCCAGCAUCAGAAGCAAGAUCACAGCACACCUGGCUCCAUACUCAAGGUCAGGCUGGAUGGGGCUCUGAGCAACCUGAAGUAGCUGUAGGUGUCCCUGUUCAUUUCAGAGCAGUUGGACUAGAUGGCCUGCAAGGAUCCCCUCCAACUCAAAUGGCUCUAUGCUUCUGUGUUGAACAUCAGUCCUAGUGUGGACCAAGGUGGAAGUGUGUCAUACAGCGUAAGAGAUGAAGCUGACCAAUAAAACGAAGAAAACCCUACAAAAACGUCUGUCUCCUUGCCACUGUUGAUGUCAGAUGCUGUGAUAUGAGCCUGUGGAGUCAGAGCAGUAAUUCACCUGGCACUCGCUCUUAUGAAGUCAUGAGCAUCUUGUUCGGAGAAGAAACAGAUCGGUCUCAGCUUGAGGAGCCCCAGCCUGCAGUGUCUGCUUCUCUUUCAAAUUCUUUGGGCUCCAACAGAAGAACAAAGGUGAAGAAGCAGCCCAGGCUAUUACACCUUUAAGCCUGUAUCAUGUUUCCAAUGUUAGAGCUCGGACUAUGGUUUGGAUCCUAAAGCUAAACUGAAGGCUGAAAAUUGCAAAAAGCAGAAGAAAGCUAGAUGUAAUGGCAGAUGGUUAGCUCAUCCCAUGAAAGAUGUCUGCACCAUAAAGCUGGGUUCUGAAAGAGCACAGCGUUCCUCUGGCUAUAUGUGCAGUGCGGUGCUGAAGUCAAACGAUGCUCAGAAAAUCCAGGAAAAGUGCUGUGAUGUGGAUUGAAGUUGUCACAUGACUCAGUGGGUCCUAAUGGCAAAUCUGUUAAACUUACCCAAGCAGAUGCAAGUAACUUAACAGGGCUUCCUCCACAGAGGUGUUUUCUGUCAUCAAGUGCCUGGAAACGGCGCAAGAAUUCCUCCAGGGGAAACUUUAUCUCUUUUGGUGCAAGAUGUAUUCAUCACCACUUGAAAAUGAGCAGGUUGCUUCCUGAGAAGGAGUGCUGCAUAGCCAGAGAUGCCUUUUGCCAGUUAGGUCCUGAGACUUCUAGACCUUUUAGCCAGCUUCACCUCUGUAACUGCAUCCUAGUAUAUAUGCUGUGUGGGCAAUAUUGGUCAUCAAACUCCACUGGAGCAUGGAGCUGGUGCAGACUGCAUGGAGAGUCAG
ensembl:lncRNA